rnacentral:tRNA from 1 species
GGGGAAAUCUCAGUGGUAGAGCACAUGCUUAGCAUGCAUGAGGUCCUGGGUUCAAUCCCCGGUACCUCCA